rnacentral:rRNA from 1 species
AUUGAACGCUGGCGGCAUGCCUUACACAUGCAAGUCGAACGGCAGCACGGGAGCAAUCCUGGUGGCGAGUGGCGAACGGGUGAGUAAAGUAUCGGAACGUGCCCAGUCGUGGGGGAUAACGUAGCGAAAGUUACGCUAAUACCGCAUACGAUCUAUGGAUGAAAGCGGGGGAUCGCAAGACCUCGCGCGAUUGGAGCGGCCGAUAUCAGAUUAGGUAGUUGGUGGGGUAAAGGCUCACCAAGCCGACGAUCUGUAGCUGGUCUGAGAGGACGACCAGCCACACUGGGACGGGGACACGGCCCAGACUCCUACGGGAGGCAGCAGUGGGGAAUCUUGGACAAUGGGCGAAAGCCUGAUCCAGCCAUGCCGCGUGCGGGAUGAAGGCCUUCGGGUUGUAAACUGCUUUUGUACGGAACGAAAAGGUUUGGCCUAAUAAGCUGAGCUCAUGACGGUACCGUAAGAAUAAGCACCGGCUAACUACGUGCCAGCCGCCGCAGUAA